rnacentral:rRNA from 1 species
UGCAGUCGAGCGGACUAGCUGGAGCUUGCUCCUCCGAGUUAGCGGCGGACGGGUGAGUAACACGUGGGUAACCUGCCUGUAAGACUGGGAUAACUCCGGGAAACCGGGGCUAAUACCGGAUAGUAUCAUGAAACGCAUGGCUUCUUUUGGAAAGACGGUUUCGGCUGUCACUUACAGAUGGGCCCGCGGCGCAUUAGCUAGUUGGUGAGGUAAUGGCUCACCAAGGCAACGAUGCGUAGCCGACCUGAGAGGGUGAUCGGCCACACUGGGACUGAGACACGGCCCAGACUCCUACGGGAGGCAGCAGUAGGGAAUCUUCCGCAAUGGACGAAAGUCUGACCGAGCAACGCCGCGUGAGUGAUGAAGGUCUUCGGAUCGUAAAACUCUGUUGUUAGGGAAGAACAAGUGCGAGAGUAACUGCUCGCACCUUGACGGUACCUAACCAGAAAGCCACGGCUAACUACGUGCCAGCAGCCGCGGUAAUACGUAGGUGGCAAGCGUURUCCGGAAUUAUUGGGCGUAAAGCGCGCGCAGGCGGUYUCUUAAGUCUGAUGUGAAAGCCCCCGGCUCAACCGGGGAGGGUCAUUGGAAACUGGGAAACUUGAGUGCAGAAGAGGAGAGUGGAAUUCCACGUGUAGCGGUGAAAUGCGUAGAGAUGUGGAGGAACACCAGUGGCGAAGGCGACUCUCUGGUCUGUAACUGACGCUGAGGCGCGAAAGCGUGGGGAGCAAACAGGAUUAGAUACCCUGGUAGUCCACGCCGUAAACGAUGAGUGCUAAGUGUUAGAGGGUUUCGCCAGGUGCUACCAUCCUCGGUGGAGAGUGCGGUCGCAAGAGUGACUCUCAAGAGAAUUGACGGGGGCCCGCACACGCUGUAGAGCAUGUGGUAAUAUUAGAAGCAACGAGAAGCACUUUCACAUGUCUAGACAUCUUUUGCCAUUUAUAGAGAUAGAAGUUUCCCUUUGGGGGGACAAAGUCACAGGUGGCGCAUGGUUGUUGUCAGCUUGUGUUGUGAGAUGUUGGGUUAAGUCCCGCAAAGAGCGCACCCCUUCAUUUUAGUUCCCCGCUUUCAGUUGCGCUCUAUAAGGUGACCCCCGGUCACAAACGGGAGGAAGGUGGGGAAGAUGUAAUAUCAUCAUCCCCCUUAUCACGUGGGACACACACGUGACACAAUGGAUGGUACAAAGGGGUGAGAGACCGAGAGCAAUAGCCUAUCCCAUAAAACCAUUCACAGUUCGGAUUGCAGGGCGCAUCUCGCCUGCAAGAAGCUGGAAUCGCUUGUUAUCGCGGAUCAGCAUGCCGCGGUGAAUAUUUUCCCGGCCCUUGCCACACCGCCUGUCACACCACGAGAGUUUGCCACA